AGAAUCAACGCUGGCGGCGUGCCUAACACAUGCAAGUCGAGCGGAAAGGCCCUUCGGGGUACUCGAGCGGCGAACGGGUGAGUAACACGUGAGUAAUCUGCCCUUAGCUCUGGGAUAGCUCCGGGAAACCGGGAUUAAUACCAGAUAUGACCACUUUAGACAUCUUUUGUGGUGGAAAGAAUUUCGGCUGGGGAUGAACUCGCGGCCUAUCAGCUUGUUGGUGAGGUAAUGGCUCACCAAGGCGACGACGGGUAGCCGGCCUGAGAGGGCGACCGGCCACACUGGGACUGAGACACGGCCCAGACUCCUACGGGAGGCAGCAGUGGGGGAAUAUUGCGCAAUGGGCGAAAGCCUGACGCAGCGACGCCGCGUGGGGGAUGAAGGCCUUCGGGUUGUAAACCCCGUUUCAGCAGGGACGAAGCGAAAGUGACGGUACCUGCAGAAGAAGCGCCGGCUAACUACGUGCCAGCAGCCGC
rnacentral:rRNA from 1 species